GAGGGCAACAGCCCUUACCCUUUUAUUUCCUCGGCCAAAUGGCUCCUCUCUUUUCCCCCUCUUUGCCCCAAAAACCCUAGGCGUUGCAGGCGCCUCUCUCUCUGUAUCUCGCGUCAUCAUCGUUGUUUAUGGAAAUUUUACAGACUGCUUUUGCAUUAUGCAGGUCUGUGUGACCUUAUAUGGUAAUGCAUUUAUGGUUGCUUGACCUUUCUUCCAUAUUUUAUCCAAACAAUGUUUGUAAUGUUAUUUUGUCGAUUUCUUUUCUUAUUUUCUCUGCCAUACAACGGCAAAAGCCUGAGAUCCUUAAUGAUCUUUGUUUGCACUCGUUUGAAAUCUUGAAAUUUGAUUGGUUUAUGGGAUUUCCUACGGAUUGGGUUCUUGUUGACUUGUUUCUAUUAAUAUUUUUUGGGGGUAAAUCCUAGCCCUAUGAUGAAGAUGUGAGGAGGGAACCUCAAUUUUGAGGGUCAUCCCACAUCGAGAAAUUAGGGGUUUUGGGAUUUUUUGGGUACUAUAAAUACAUGCUUUCACUUUACUGUUUUGAAGAAAGAAAAAAAGAGGGAAUCGACAAACUUCUUGCAAAAAUCUGAGAUAUCAGUUUUAUUUUGCAAAAGAACUCGAAAAGAAUUGGGGUUUUGAAAUAUUUCGAAACCUUUAAGUUUUUCAAAGUUAAGUUUAAGUUUAAAAAAUUUGAAGGUCUUGUGUGUGGCUUUGGUUCGCUUGAUUUGAGCUUUGGGGAUUGAGUGGUUUCUCCAAGUUUAAUCUUGAUUAAGGGCUGCACGAAAGAAAGUUGCAUGUGCAAGAAGCAAGUUGUGAGCUACAAUGUAUGGCUCAGUUCAAGAAUUACCCUCAGUGCAGUUGCCUACAAAUUUAGAACAACUUCCUGGUGCAAAGGUUCCUUUUGUAUAUCCAUUCAUGCUGUAUGAAAGUGGCUCAUUCAUAGUUAUCCAGUACUUCACUCGAUCCCCAAAUUCUUUGAAGCAAAUGUCCACAAAGUUACCAUAGUCUUUCCUGAAUUAAUAUAAUACAUCAUUGAAUGUUGAUUGGGAUAUCUUCGGAGUAAUUAAUUUUGUCUACUAUC